CUGACCUCAAGUGAUCCACUCGCCUCCGCCUCCCAAAGUGCUGGGAUUAAAGGCGUGAGCCACCGUUCCCAGUCAUAUCAGUAGUUUAAAACUGGGCAUAUUGAGUAUGAGAUGUUUGCUAGGCCCCCAGGUGCUGACAUCAAGGAGCUAGUUUAAUAUAUGAGUUUGGUUGUUAGGAUAUAAAGAAAAAUAAAACUCAUGAAACUAAAUGAGAUCACCAAAAGACAGAGUAUAUAGAACUAAGAAUGGAACCCUUAAAUAUUCCAAUAUUAGAAAGUUAGAAGAGGAUAAAGCUACAACGAUGCUCAAGAAGGCGGCGGCAGAGAGGUGCUAUCUAUUGCAAGAAAACCUGUCAACUCAAUGAAAGUGUUUCAAAAAAGAAAAGCUGCAUUAAACAUGUGCCGAUUUUAAAAACACAUCUUAAUUUAAGAAACAUUAAAAUAGAAAAAAAAUUUACAUAUCUCAAUUGAUGUAAUUCACUAAUGUCUACCCAAAAGGAGAGCUAAACAUAUUAAAACAGAACAGAGAAUGUAUAAAACAAAUGAAUAAAACAAGAUGUGAAAUAUUCCAAAGUAAAACUGUAUAUUCUGUUUUAGAAAAUGUCACUGCAUGUAAAAAUGGCUGGCUUUUGAUCAGAGAUGGCUUUCAAUUGCAACUCAGCAUGCUUUGUCUCUGAACAGCUUUGCAAAAACACAAUAGCUUCUAUAUCUCUGUUGUAGUUUGAUAAUAUCUGCCCUCCCAAUUAAUCGUCUCAUCUUUUCAUCAAUUAUUACAUUUUCCACCUUUUGAGUUGAAGAUAUCUUUGCUUGGUUGCAUAUAGGCAAAAUUAAGCUUAAGGACAAAGGUACAUUAUUUAAGGGACUUGCAAUUAUUUGUGUUAUUAUUAAAUAAAGAACAGAGGACUAUUAAGGCAAAGUUGAAAUUUCCAGAAUAUCACCAUCCUAUGAAAGUCAUCGAUCAGUCACCACAACAUGGCCUAAUUGACCACAAGUACUCAGAGGCUUUCAGUAACUUCACAAGGUCUAUAUUGCAAUAGCAAUGAAUACCCUACACCUCCAGAA
rnacentral:lncRNA from 1 species